AGAGUUUGAUCAUGGCUCAGGAUGAACGCUAGCGGCAGGCUUAAUACAUGCAAGUCGAACGGUAAGUGUUUUAGCAAUAAGACACCNGAGUGACGCACGGGUGCGUAACACGUAUGCAACCUACCCUUUACAGGAGGAUAGCUCGGGGAAACUCGAAUUAACCCUCCAUAGUAUAAUUGAAUGGCAUCAUUUGGUUAUUAAAACUUCAGUGGUAAAGGAUGGGCAUGCGUCUGAUUAGCUAGUUGGUGAGGUAACGGCUCACCAAGGCGAUGAUCAGUAGGGGACCUGAGAGGGUGAUCCCCCACACUGGCACUGAGAUACGGGCCAGACUCCUACGGGAGGCAGCAGUAGGGAAUAUUGGUCAAUGGGUGAGAGCCUGAACCAGCCAUGCCGCGUGCAGGAAGAAGGCCUUCUGGGUUGUAAACUGCUUUUGUCAGGGGAUAAAAUUUCCAUGCGUGGAGAAUUGAGGGUACCUGGCGAAUAAGCCACGGCUAACUACGUGCCAGCAGCCGCGGUAAUACGUAGGUGGCAAGCGUUGUCCGGAUUUAUUGGGUUUAAAGGGUGCGUAGGCGGCUUAUUAAGUCAGUGGUGAAAUAUGGCAGCUUAACUGUCAGGGUGCCAUUGAUACUGAUGAGCUUGAGUACAGAUGAGGUAGGCGGAAUUGACGGUAGCGGUGAAAUGCAUAGAUAUCGUCAAGAACACCUAUAGCGAAGGCAGCUUACUAAGCUGUAACUGACGCUGAGGCACGAAAGUGUGGGGAUCAAACAGGAUUAGAUACCCUAGUAGUCC
rnacentral:rRNA from 1 species